UGCAAGUCGACGAUGAACCACCUUCGGGUGGGGAUUAGUGGCGAACGGGUGAGUAACACGUGGGCAAUCUGCCCUGCACUCUGGGACAAGCCCUGGAAACGGGGUCUAAUACCGGAUACUGACCUGCCAAGGCAUCUUGGCGGGUCGAAAGCUCCGGCGGUGCAGGAUGAGCCCGCGGCCUAUCAGCUUGUUGGUGAGGUAAUGGCUCACCAAGGCGACGACGGGUAGCCGGCCUGAGAGGGCGACCGGCCACACUGGGACUGAGACACGGCCCAGACUCCUACGGGAGGCAGCAGUGGGGAAUAUUGCACAAUGGGCGCAAGCCUGAUGCAGCGACGCCGCGUGAGGGAUGACGGCCUUCGGGUUGUAAACCUCUUUCAGCAGGGAAGAAGCGAAAGUGACGGUACCUGCAGAAGAAGCGCCGGCUAACUACGUGCCAGCAGCCGCGGUAAUACGUAGGGCGCAAGCGUUGUCCGGAAUUAUUGGGCGUAAAGAGCUCGUAGGCGGCUUGUCGCGUCGGUUGUGAAAGCCCGGGGCUUAACCCCGGGUCUGCAGUCGAUACGGGCAGGCUAGAGUUCGGUAGGGGAGAUCGGAAUUCCUGGUGUAGCGGUGAAAUGCGCAGAUAUCAGGAGGAACACCGGUGGCGAAGGCGGAUCUCUGGGCCGAUACUGACGCUGAGGAGCGAAAGCGUGGGGAGCGAACAGGAUUAGAUACCCUGGUAGUCCACGCCGUAAACGGUGGGCACUAGGUGUGGGCAACAUUCCACGUUGUCCGUGCCGCAGCUAACGCAUUAAGUG
rnacentral:rRNA from 1 species